rnacentral:rRNA from 1 species
AUCGAACGCUGGCGGCAGGCCUAACACAUGCAAGUCGAACGAACCUUUCGGGGUUGGUGGCGGACGGAGGGGUAACCCGUUGGGACGUGCCUUUAGGUUCGGAAUGACUCAGGGGAACUUGUGCUAAUACCGAAUCUGCUCUUGGGGGGGAAGAUUGAGCGCCUUUAGAGCGGCCCGCGUCUGAUUACCUAGUUGGUUGUGGUAAUGGCUCACCAAGGCGACGAUCGGUAAGUGGUCUGAGAGGAUGAUCAGCCACAUUGGGACUGAGGCACGGCCCAAACUCCUGCGGGAGGCAGCAGUGGGGAAUCUUGCGCAAUGGGGGAAAGCAUGACGCAGCCAGGCCGCGUGAAUGAUGAAGGUCGUAGGAUUGUAAAAUUCUUUCACCGGGGACGAUAAUGACGGUACCCGGAGAAGAAGCCCCGGCUAACUUCGUG